GUAGACUGGACCCGUACCUGGAUGAGCCGGCCGUCGGCGGUCCCUAGGCUGGCCACGGUGUCGUCCUGGACAGGUGCCACAGCAAUGGAGUCUCUCUCCGACGUCAACACAGGGCCUUCCUCGACAUUCCAAUCAGGAAGUGUUGUACAACAGAUAACAAGGGAAAGGAUGGGAGGGGGGGCCAGAGUGAAAAUACAGAUGAAGGAAGGAUUAAUACAGAUCAAUGUGUGGCUGCCUGUCCCUGGAUGACCUCAUCCACAGAACGUUCCCCACUAAGGGAACAUCAGACUUCUGGCCUUCAUUUGGUGGUUUCCUCUGACGGAUAAUGUCUCCCCCUUUUCUGCUGCAGAAGAACUGCCUUAUAAGAAUUGACCCAUUACUACUGAAGAAAUUCCACAUAAAGGCAUGUUCUUGACCAGGGUUUAGGCUUAAUCAGGCUUUUAAUAUCUGUCCUAAGCAAUUACUAGACAACAUACUGUUUUAUUACUGAUAAAUAUUCCAGAAAUAAGAGUUUUAAGAACUAUUGAUUCUUACGUAAUUUUAUUAAAUUCCCUUUAUUUGAUAUCUUUGAAAUGGAGCAGAGUUUUGUUCAUGCAUGGGCAGUGCGUGUGAAUACGUUUAAUAAAACGUUUGGUUCAACUGUAUGUUGAUACGAAAUGAUACAAAUUAUAAAUAAUUUUACUCUGUGGAUACUCUGUUGAUUUGAAUAAGGA